UGCGUAGGCGGAAUAUUAAGUCAGUGGUGAAAUCCUGCAGCUUAACUGUAGAACCGCUAUUGAUACUGGUAUUCUUGAAUUUAGUUGAGGUGGGCGGAACGUGUAAUGUAGCGGUGAAAUGCUUAGAUAUUACACAGAACACCGAUUGCGAAGGCAGCUCACUAAACUAACAUUGACGCUGAGGCACGAAAGCGUGGGUAGCGAACAGGAUUAGAUACCCUGGUAGUCC
rnacentral:rRNA from 1 species